UCAAGUAAUUAAGUGCAUGUGGUGGAUGCCUUGGCAGUCAGAGGCGAUGAAAGACGUGAUAGCCUGCGAAAAGCUCCGGGGAGGCGGCAAAUAUCCUUUGAUCCGGAGAUGUCUGAAUGGGGGAACCCACCUACUUUAAGGUAGGUAUUGCAACAUGAAUACAUAGUGUUGCAAGGCGAACGAGGGGAAGUGAAACAUCUCAGUACCCUUAGGAAAAGAAAUCAAUUGAGAUUCCCUCAGUAGCGGCGAGCGAACGGGGAUCAGCCCAUUAAGUUAUGUGUGUUUUAGUGGAACGCUCUGGGAAGUGCGAACGUAGAGGGUGAUAUUCCCGUACACGAAAGGGCACACAUAAUGAUGACGAGUAGGGCGAGGCACGUGAAACCUUGUCUGAAUAUGGGGGGACCAUCCUCCAAGGCUAAAUACUCCUGACUGACCGAUAGUGAACCAGUACCGUGAGGGAAAGGCGAAAAGAACCCCUGUGAGGGGAGUGAAAUAGAUCCUGAAACCGCAUGCAUACAAGCAGUGGGAGCACCUUCGUGGUGUGACUGCGUACCUUUUGUAUAAUGGGUCAGCGACUUAUAUUCAGUAGCGAGGUUAACCGUAUAGGGGAGCCGUAGAGAAAUCGAGUCUUAAUAGGGCGUUUAGUUGCUGGGUAUAGACCCGAAACCAGGCGAUCUAUCCAUGAGCAGGUUGAAGGUUGGGUAACACUAACUGGAGGACCGAACCCACUGUCGUUGAAAAGCCAGGGGAUGACUUGUGGAUAGGGGUGAAAGGCUAAUCAAGCCUGGUGAUAGCUGGUUCUCCCCGAAAGCUAUUUAGGUAGCGCCUCGGACGAAUACCAUAGGGGGUAGAGCACUGUUUCGGCUAGGGGGUCAUCCCGACUUACCAAACCGAUGCAAACUCCGAAUACCUAUGAGUACUAUCCGGGAGACAGACUGCGGGUGCUAACGUCCGUAGUCAAGAGGAAAACAAUCCAGACCGCCAGCUAAGGCCCCAAAAUCAUAGUUAAGUGGGAAACGAUGUGGGAAGGCAUAGACAGCUAGGAGGUUGGCUUAGAAGCAGCCACCCUUUAAAGAAAGCGUAAUAGCUCACUAGUCGAGUCGGCCUGCGCGGAAGAUGUAACGGGGCUAAAACUAUGUGCCGAAGCUGCGGAUGUAUACUUUGUAUACGUGGUAGGGGAGCGUUCUGUAAGCCGAUGAAGGUGUGUUGAGAAGCAUGCUGGAGGUAUCAGAAGUGCGAAUGCUGACGUGAGUAACGACAAAACGGGUGAAAAACCCGUUCGCCGAAAGACCAAGGGUUCCAGUCCAACGUUAAUCGGGGCUGGGUGAGUCGACCCCUAAGGCGAGGCCGAAAGGCGUAGUCGAUGGGAAAAUGGUUAAUAUUCCAUUACUUCUGUGUAAUGCGAUGAGAGGACGGAGAAGGCUAAAUCAGCCUGGCGUUGGUUGUCCAGGUGAAAGGAUGUAGGCAUGUAUCUUAGGCAAAUCCGGGGUACUCUAUGCUGAGAUCUGAUAGCAAGCUGUACUUGUACAGCGAAGUGGUUGAUGCCAUGCUUCCAGGAAAAGUCUCUAAGCUUCAGUUACACAGGAAUCGUACCCGAAACCGACACAGGUGGUCAGGUCGAGUAGACCAAGGCGCUUGAGAGAACUCUGCUGAAGGAACUAGGCAAAAUGGUACCGUAACUUCGGGAGAAGGUACGCUGUUGUUGGUGAUGGAACUCGCUUCCUGAGCUGACGACAGCCGCAGAAACCAGGCCGCUGCAACUGUUUAUUAAAAACAUAGCACUCUGCAAACACGAAAGUGGACGUAUAGGGUGUGAUGCCUGCCCGGUGCUGGAAGGUUAAUUGAUGGGGUUAGCGUAAGCGAAGCUCUUGAUCGAAGCCCCAGUAAACGGCGGCCGUAACUAUAACGGUCCUAAGGUAGCGAAAUUCCUUGUCGGGUAAGUUCCGACCUGCACGAAUGGCAUAAUGAUGGCGGCGCUGUCUCCAGCAGAGGCUCAGUGAAAUCGAAAUCGCUGUGAAGAUGCAGUGUACCCGCGGCUAGACGGAAAGACCCCGUGAACCUUUACUGCAGCUUGACACUGAACUUUGACCUUACUUGUGUAGGAUAGGUGGGAGGCUUUGAAGCUGGAACGCUAGUUCCAGUGGAGCCGUCCUUGAAAUACCACCCUGGUAAUGUUGAGGUUCUAACUCUGUCCCGUGAUCCGGGACGAGGACCGUGUCUGGUGGGUAGUUUGACUGGGGCGGUCUCCUCCUAAAGAGUAACGGAGGAGUACGAAGGUGCGCUCAGCGUGGUCGGAAAUCACGCGUAGAGUAUAAAGGCAAAAGCGCGCUUAACUGCGAGACCCACAAGUCGAGCAGGUACGAAAGUAGGUCUUAGUGAUCCGGUGGUUCUGUAUGGAAGGGCCAUCGCUCAACGGAUAAAAGGUACUCUGGGGAUAACAGGCUAUACCGCCCAAGAGUUCAUAUCGACGGCGGUGUUUGGCACCUCGAUGUCGGCUCAUCUCAUCCUGGGGCUGAAGCAGGUCCCAAGGGUAUGGCUGUUCGCCAUUUAAAGAGGUACGCGAGCUGGGUUUAGAACGUCGUGAGACAGUUCGGUCCCUAUCUACCGUGGGCGCUGGAAAUUUGAGAGGAUCUGCUCCUAGUACGAGAGGACCAGAGUGGACGAACCUCUGGUGUACCGGUUGUGACGCCAGUCGCAUCGCCGGGUAGCUAUGUUCGGAAGGGAUAACCGCUGAAAGCAUCUAAGCGGGAAGCCUACCUCAAGAUAAGAUUUCCCUAGGACUUUAUGUCCUCUAAAGAGCCGUUCGAGACUAGGACGUUGAUAGGUUGGAUGUGGAAGCAUAGUGAUAUGUGAAGCUGACCAAUACUAAUUGCUCGUGAGGCUUGACUAU
rnacentral:rRNA from 2 species